CGUUGUCGUCAGCUCGUGUCGUGAGAUGUUGGGUUAAGUCCCGCAACGAGCGCAACCCUUACCCUUAGUUGUUUUCCCGAAAGGAUUACCCUCUAAGGGGACUGCCCCGGACAACGGGGAGGAAGGUGGGGAUGACGUCAAGUCCGCAUGCUCCUUACGUCUAGGGCUACACACGUCCUACAAUGGGGUCGACAGUGGGAUGCAAAGCCGCGAGGUGGAGCCAAUCCCCAAACGGCCUCUCAGUUCGGACAGUAGUCUGCAACUCGACUACUUGAAGUCGGAAUCGCUAGUAAUGGCGGAUCAGCAUGCCGCCGUGAAUACGUUCCCGGGCCUU
rnacentral:rRNA from 1 species